CUGUACUAAAGACGCCCUUUGGUAUCAACAUUGAUAUCUCUCUGUAGUUAUCCUGAAUUUUCAUAAUAUGUCUACUUCUCUUUAGAUUAGAGAGAGGAGGAGGCACUAGAGGUACAGAGUUCCGUAAUGUAUUCAAAAACGUAAUAAAUUACUAUAUUUCUAGUGAUCUCCGUAUUAUAUUUUAAACUUUAAAAGAAACAGAUGAACGUUUUAAUAAAUAAGCAAAAUUUCGAUCCUAAUAGCUUCGUGUACAGCACUUAUAAUGUUUGAUCUGGCUAUGCACCGUACAUAGAAUAAUCAGUUUAAUAUUUCAUCUAAGCACCGUCAGAACGUGAAGAAAUUAUUCUGUUUUAAUUACUGAGCAUACCACAAAUUAAUUUUUGAAAUUAAAAAAUGAAACCCAUUUUAUUCGUCACGCUCUUUGCUCGGGACAUUGACGCCUCUGCCUACUCAAUUUUUAAGUUAAUUAGGCAUUUCAUUAAAUGCGCCUCGGUGGUACAGUCUUGUACAUCGCAGGUAACUGUAAUGUAAAUUUAUGAACAAUUACAAAAUGUAAUAUUAUAAUUGCGUUGCAGUUGUUUAAAUGAUAAAUAAAGUAACUAAGCGAGGCAGAUGACCCGCCUGUACGUGGUAAUCUUUGCUAUACAUACAUUAAAUUUUAAAUGCUAACUUGUCGUGUGUGUCAAUAUGUUUUUAGAUACAAUUUUUAUUCGUUUACCAUUAAUCCACUUCCGUAUAUCUGUGAGAAAUAUUCGUGAAACAUUUAGGACAGAUUUAAUAACAUGCUUCAUGACUAAUGAUCGUUAAUAAUUGUCGUUAUUGAUAGUUCAAAUAAAUAAAGUAAAAAUCAAAUUAUCACAGCUGUGUACCACAGAUUGAAAUCAACAUUCUAUUAGCAUACAAACUCAAAACAUAGGAGGACUACGUAAAAUUGUCACUUCAUUAUUUUCUUGUGUUAAGGACGAUAGGUUUGACAGAAAACAAUUUAGUUAUCGAAGUACGCUUACUUUCAAUACUAAAACUUUUAAAAAUACAAUUUAAAUUCCGGAAAGUUCAAAUAACUAAAACGAAUGGGACAACAUCGUGUCAUGGCUACAAAACGAGCGUCAUACAGAAAUAAAAACAUUCACGUGGAUUGAGAAAUGAACAAAACACGCAACCUCUGAAUCAUACUUAAGUAAGAAAAAAAAUCGGCUUCUUAUGGUGCCUUUUGAAGUGAAGCUGAUUUAUUUGAUAUUAGAUAAUCAAUUGGAAUAAAAUGAAAUGAAACGAGAUGAGAUCCGUUGCAAUUUUUUUCAUUGCUUGUUUGGGUGGGCGAGCUCACGGCCUGAUCUUGAGUGGUUACCGGAGCCCAUAGACAUCUACAACGUAAAUGCACCACCCACCUUAAGACUUGAGUUGUAAUGUCUCACAGCUCACUUUUAACAGUGCAACGGCUGUCCCGACCUUCAAAUCGAAACGCAUUACUGCUUCACUCACGGCAGAAAUAGGCAGGGUGAUGGUACAUACCCGUGCGGACUCACAAGACAUCCUACCACCAGUAAAUGAGAUGAAAUAGUCUUAGUUUAAUGAUGAAAAUUUACUGAAACUUUGGUGAAGUUUUUGGAACCCAAGAUCCCACGUCUGGCAACUUUAUUUCAUAUUCUACACUUCUACACUUUCACAGAUACUAAACGGUAUGGAACAGAUACUAAAAAAACACCAUUAUUACAAACUGAAACCUAAGGAAACACUAAAAAACAAGAUAAAACAACUUCGUUCCUUGUGCUCCCGCCUAAAGUCACAUAGGCUUUAUUAAUAAUAUGUAUUAUAAUUCGGAAUUCCUAACCAUAUUCAAUGAGGAAAUACUGAAUUGAAACAUUCACGAAAUUAUUGUUAUUCGCUCAUUUAAAUAAUUUGCUCAUACAUAUAUUAAGUUUAGUUUUAAGUCUCGUAUCUAGUCUUGUUAUGAGAUAUGUCUUUCCAUGUUUUACAAUAUUGAAAUAAACCUAAUAAAUAAUAUAAGAAUUUAAAAAACUACAUGACUUAAUUUUAAAAUGAAUUAUUUAACAUUUAUCUUAAAUUAGAAAAUACAAGGAAUCCACCAUUAUAUUUAA